rnacentral:rRNA from 1 species
GUUAUAUGGUCAAGUGAAUAAGCGUACACGGUGGAUGCCUAGGCGGUAAGAGGCGAUGAAGGACGUUGUAAUCUGCGAUAAGCUUCGGGGAGCUGAUAAACAAGCUUUGAUCCGGAGAUUUCCGAAUGGGGAAACCCACCUGUCAUAAGACAGGUAUCUUAUACUGAAUACAUAGGUAUAUGAGGCGAACCCGGGGAACUGAAACAUCUAAGUACCCGGAGGAAAAGAAAUCAAUUGAGAUUCCCUAAGUAGCGGCGAGCGAACGGGGACCAGCCCUUAAGUUCUUGGUGUGAUAGUGGAACAGUCUGGAAAGUCUGGCGAUACAGGGUGAUAGCCCCGUACACUAAAUCUAACUUUGAAUGAAAUCGAGUAGGACGGGACACGUGAUAUCCUGUCUGAAUAUGGGGGGACCAUCCUCCAAGGCUAAAUACUACUUACCGACCGAUAGUGAACUAGUACCGUGAGGGAAAGGCGAAAAGAACCCCGUUGAGGGGAGUGAAAUAGAACCUGAAACCGUGUACGUACAAGCAGUAGGAGCCCUUCGGGGUGACUGCGUACCUUUUGUAUAAUGGGUCAGCGACUUACUUCUCAGUAGCAAGCUUAACCGAAUAGGGGAGGCGUAGGGAAACCGAGUCUUAAUAGGGCGUUUAGUUGCUGGGAGUAGACCCGAAACCGGGCGAUCUAUCCAUGGCCAGGGUGAAGGUGAAGUAACAUUCACUGGAGGCCCGAACCCACUUAUGUUGAAAAAUGAGGGGAUGAGCUGUGGAUCGGAGUGAAAGGCUAAUCAAGCCCGGAGAUAGCUGGUUCUCCUCGAAAGCUAUUUAGGUAGCGCCUCGUGUAUCACCUAUGGGGGUAGAGCACUGUUUCGGCUAGGGGGUCAUCCCGACUUACCAAACCGAUGCAAACUCCGAAUACCAUAGAGUGCAAUCACGGGAGACACACGGCGGGUGCUAACGUCCGUCGUGGAAAGGGAAACAACCCAGACCGCCAGCUAAGGUCCCAAAAUCAUAUCUCAGUGGGAAACGAUGUGGGAAGGCCCAGACAGCCAGGAGGUUGGCUUAGAAGCAGCCAUCCUUUAAAGAAAGCGUAAUAGCUCACUGGUCGAGUCGGCCUGCGCGGAAGAUUUAACGGGGCUUAAGAUAUGUACCGAAGCUGCGGAUGCAUGUUUACAUGCAUGGUAGAGGAGCGUUCUGUAAGCGGUUGAAGGUGUGCUGUAAGGCAUGCUGGACGUAUCAGAAGUGCGAAUGCUGACAUGAGUAACGAUAAAGGGGGUGAGAGGCCCCCUCGCCGAAAACCCAAGGUUUCCUGCUCAACGCUAAUCGGAGCAGGGUUAGUCGGCCCCUAAGGCGAGGCAGAAAUGCGUAGUCGAUGGGAAACAGGUUAAUAUUCCUGUACCACUUAUCAUUGCGAUGGAGGGACGGAGAAGGCUAGACCAGAACACAGACGGUUUUGUGUAUCUAAGGCAGUAGGCAGAUCUUUUAGGUAAAUCCGGAAGGUCAAUGCUGAGAGCUGAUGGCGACGGUUCUACGGAACCGGAGUGGUCAAUGCCAUACUUCCAGGAAAAUCUUCUAAGCUUCAGAUGAUAAGUGACCGUACUCUAAACGGACACACGUGGGUAGGGUGAGAAUCCCAAGGCGCUUGAGAGAACUCGGGUGAAGGAACUAGGCAAAAUGGUACCGUAACUUCGGGAGAAGGUACGCCCUUGCCGGUGAUCGGACUUGCUCCGUAAGCUGGUGGGGGUAGCAUUAAAAUGGUGGCUGCAACUGUUUAUUAAAAACAUAGCACUCUGCAAACACGAAAGUGGACGUAUAGGGUGUGACGCCUGAUCGAAGCCCCGGUAAACGGCGGCCGUAACUAUAACGGUCCUAAGGUAGCGAAAUUCCUUGUCGGGUAAGUUCCGACCUGCACGAAUGGCGUAAUGAUGGCCACACUGUCUCCACCCGAGACUCAGUGAAAUUGAAAUAGCUGUUAAGAUGCAGUUUACCUGCGGCUAGACGGAAAGACCCCGUGCACCUUUACUACAGCUUUGCACUGGACUUUGAGCCUACUUGUGUAGGAUAGCUGGGAGGCUUUGAAACCGGAUCGCUAGAUUCGGUGGAGCCAACCUUGAAAUACCAGCCUGGUAUGUUUGAAGUUCUAACCUCGACCCGUUAUCCGGGUUAGGGACAGUGUAUGGUGGGUAGUUUGACUGGGGCGGUCUCCUCCCAAAGAGUAACGGAGGAGCGCGAAGGUACCCUCAGCGCGGUCGGACAUCGCGCAAUGAGUGCAAUAGCAUAAGGGUGCUUGACUGAGAGACAGACACGUCGAUCAGGUACGAAAGUAGGCUAUAGUGAUCCGGUGGUUCUGUAUGGAAGGGCCAUCGCUCAACGGAUAAAAGGUACGCCGGGGAUAACAGGCUGAUACCGCCCAAGAGUUCAUAUCGACGGCGGUGUUUGGCACCUCGAUGUCGGCUCAUCACAUCCUGGGGCUGAAGUCGGUCCCAAGGGUAUGGCUGUUCGCCAUUUAAAGUGGUACGCGAGCUGGGUUUAGAACGUCGUGAGACAGUUCGGUCCCUAUCUGCCGUAGGCGUUUGAGACUUGAGGGAAGCUGCUCCUAGUACGAGAGGACCGGAGUGGACGAACCUCUGGUGUUCCGGUUGUCACGCCAGUGGCAUUGCCGGGUAGCUAUGUUCGGAAGGGAUAACCGCUGAAAGCAUCUAAGCGGGAAGCCCCUCCCAAGAUUAGGUCUCACUGGACCUUUAAGGUCCCUGAAGGGUCGUUGAAGACUACAACGUUGAUAGGUCGGGUGUGGAAGCGCAGUAAUGCGUGAAGCUAACCGAUACUAAUUGCCCGUGAGGCUUGACCAUAUAACACCCAA